rnacentral:rRNA from 1 species
UUGAACGCUGGCGGCGAUGCCUUACACAUGCAAGUCGAACGGUAACAGGUCUUCGGAUGCUGACGAGUGGCGAACGGGUGAGUAAUACAUCGGAACGUGCCUAGUAGUGGGGGAUAACUACUCGAAAGAGUGGCUAAUACCGCAUGAGAUCUACGGAUGAAAGCAGGGGAUCGCAAGACCUUGUGCUACUAGAGCGGCUGAUGGCAGAUUAGGUAGUUGGUGGGAUAAAAGCUUACCAAGCCGACGAUCUGUAGCUGGUCUGAGAGGACGAUCAGCCACACUGGGACUGAGACACGGCCCAGACUCCUACGGGAGGCAGCAGUGGGGAAUUUUGGACAAUGGGCGAAAGCCUGAUCCAGCAAUGCCGCGUGCAGGAUGAAGGCCUUCGGGUUGCAAACUGCUUUUGUACGGAACGAAAAGCUUCGGGUUAAUACCCUGGAGCCAUGACGGUACCGUAAGAAUAAGCACCGGCUAACUACGUGCCAGCCGCGGC